CCUACGGGUGGCAGCAGUAGGGAAUAUUGCUCAAUGGGGGAAACCCUGAAGCAGCAACGCCGCGUGGAGGAUGAAGGUUUUCGGAUUGUAAACUCCUUUUUUUAGAGAAGAUAAUAACGGUAUCUAACGAAUAAGCACCGGCUAAAUCCGUGCCAGCAGCCGCGGUAAUACGGAGGGUGCAAGCGUUACUCGGAAUCACUGGGCGUAAAGAGCGCGUAGGCGGGAUAGCAAGUCAGAUGUGAAAUCCUUGGGCUUAACCCUAGAACUGCAGUUGAAACUGUUAGUCUAGAGUAUGGGAGAGGUAGGUGGAAUGCUUGGUGUAGGGGUAAAAUCCGUAGAGAUCGAGAGGAAUACUGAUUGCGAAGGCGACCUGCUAGAACAUCACUGACGCUGAUGCGCGAAAGCGUGGGGAGCAAACAGGAUUAGAUACCCCGGUAGUC
rnacentral:rRNA from 1 species